AUCACCGCGCACUGCGAUGCUCCAUGUAUUCUGGGGGAGGAGUGGUUGCUCUCCCUCUAUGUGCGGCGUCGCUUUCGAUGAAAGAACUCCUGCAGGGAUUUUGUGAAGAUAGAACUCUGUGUCUUGGGCUUGCAUUGUUGCAAGGAUUUUCCUACACAGACAGUUUAUCUUCCUGACAGCAUCUGGUUAAUUUUCCCUCUCCGUUGCAGGGCACCUCAUGCAUGGCUACCGAGAAUCUCCUCCAUUGGUGAGUGGAAAGAAACCUUUGGUGUGUUGCAGUCGCAUGCAGCCUGGUGGGCUGAGAGAAAGUUCCUGUCAGUCUUAUUGCAGCAGCAGAAGCUAAGGGAUCCCUGGCUGUUUUCUCCUUUUCUCUUGAAGAACUUUUAAACAGCUGCAAGAAUGAUUUUGUAGCCAGAAGACUGCGUGCUGGUUUUAGCCAUUUUAGAGUAUCAAAUUCACAAGCAUAAGUGGCAAUGUCUGCUUUAGCCCACUGUUAGUUUAAACACCCCAGAAUGCUAUUUCUCCUUGGUGCAAAUGGUUGUAUAGCUGAUGAUAAAUAAGGCCAUAAAUGUGAUACAACUUCCUGUCCCUCUGUCUACUGUCUGUCCACAAAGCACAAAAGCUGGGUCUCCUCUAGCUCUGUCUUUCUCCAAAGAGGAGGCCAAAGAGGAGAAAGACAAGAAGGCUGGAGAGGAGGGACAAAGUGAAGUUCCCUCUGUUCUCAGAGACAAUGGUGAACUUCCUACUGUUCUUGAAGAUGGUGGUGAAUUUCCCCCCAUUCUGGAAGGUGACAGCAAAGCUCCAGCAGUGUGGAUCGAGGGUGGCGAAUGUCUUGUGGUGUGGGAUGAGGAGUGGGAACAUCCUGCAGUGCAGGAAAAAGGACAGCAAAGAUCUUGCGGUGUGGGAGGAGGAGGGCAAACAUCCAGUGGUGUGUAAAGAGGACGGCAAGCAUCAAGCAAUGUGGGAAGAGGAGGGACGACAUCUCUCUGCAUGGUGAAGAGCACCAUGAACAUCCCAGUGUUCGGGAAGAGGAUGGUGAAGCACCACCAUUUUGGGAAGAGGACAGCAAACCUUCCUCUGUUGAGGCAUCAUGGGCUGAGCAUUCUGACAGCAGCAUAGCCCUGCAGCCAGAGGGGAGAGGAGAGAAGUGCCUGAUGCAGCUGAGUAUGUCUGCUCUUUGUCUUGUCUGCCAGAGCAGGGUGUGGUGUGUGUGUGAGCAUCGGCUGUAUUCAGUGUUCCUCUGCAGCUGAAUGUCACAGAGUAGUUUAUUGCUCUUGCCCACCUGAGUACAAGGGGCACAGAGCCCCAGAGAGUGGGGCUGCAUUUUGGCUCUGCUGCAAGGUGGGAUCUCCAUCUUGCAGUGACUGCCUUUCCUGUUUCUUUCAGGGAGCACUGUGAGAGUGGGGGAGCCUGCCAAGCAACACACUGAAGCUGAGCCAGUUGGCCAAGGCCCUGGAUUUCCUUCAUUUGAACCAGGUGAUCCAAAGAAAUCUGAAAAGCUCCAGCAUCCUUCAGGGAAUGGAUGGCCCUGUCAAGUGCUGUAACCACUGUCAAGGGUAGGUAUCCUUGGUCAGGCACAGUGUUCCCAGGAUGCGGGUGUGGGGCUGCGUCCCAGUGAUGACCAGUGGUGCUGGUGAGAAUGCCUGGACCCUGCUGCCAGCCGAGAGCAGCUGCAACGUGCAGAGAGGUCUGGAAAAGAGCAGGGUGUCAAGAGGGGCUUGGCUUUGUGUAUGUCCCUUCCAGAGGGGAGGGAGUAAGAAUCUAACGCUUCAAGUGAAUAAAUAAAAGCCAGUGCCUGAAAUCUGAGGGUAUCUUUAAGUGGCCAGUUGCAUAUUUCUUUGGCUCAGAGGACUUUUGCAAUUGGAUUCAGUAGUAAAUUCGCAGACCUAUAGCUGGGAAUUCUUUUGAUUUUUAAUUCCAGCUAACUCUUGACAGUGUUUAUUUUCGUCCUCAGCUGAUUUUGGCUUCUGCACUCAGCUGACCCCUGAGCAGGAUCAUCAGACCUCCAUGGUGGGCACUGCUCACUGAAUGGCCCCAGAAGUUUUGAUCAGUUCUCCUUAUGGCCCCAAGGUAGACAUCUGGUCCUUUGGGAUAGUGACCCAGCAAUGGGUGGAAGGAGAACCUCCUUACUUCAAACAAACUGGAAGAUGUCCAAGUGUUUGCAUAGGCCUGUGUGCCCAGGGUGGCUCUGCACUGGGAUGAGCCACUGGAUGUUUGUGCACACGAUGGAAAGAAUUUCCCAGAGCACUCAAUGAAAUUGGCUGUCAGGGCAAGCUCAUUUGCAUGCAGCUUGGCUGCAUCAGGGUUUGUGUUUUAUUGUUGGUAUAGAAAAACGAUCUCUGAGCAGCAUCUCUGCCUGGGAGGACACUGGCCCUGGAGCCUGGGGCUCAGGACCUGGGGUUGCUUUGAGCAGCUGUGGGUGAAGGGAACUGGUGCAGUGUUGUGUUGGCUUUUCCCCCAGCUCACGCUCUGAUGGGGCAGAACGGGACCUGGCGUUGCUGCAGGAAUUGCUCAGCGCAGCCUGGAGCUGGGUGAUGAGCCGUGCUGCUCUGCCUGGGAGCUGCUGCAGGUGAGUGGAGGGCAAACAGCGGUGCAAUAGUGGGGUUUUCCUGUCCGACCCCCGUCCUGUAAUCUGCAGUCUUGGUGCUUUGCAAACUGAGAGCAAGCAGAAUGAAUCCUAGACUGGUUUGGGUUGACAGGGGCCUUUCAAGAUCAUCUGGACCAGCUGCCCUGCAGUGAGCAGGGCCAUCUUCAAGCAGAUCAGGUGGCUCAGAACCCUGCCUGACCUAACCUUGAGUGAUUGCAGGGGUGAGGCACUUUCUGCAUCUCUGAGCAACUUCUGUCAGUUACCCCAUUCUCCUUGUAAAAAAGUUUUUCUUUACAUCUUAUCUGAGUCUGCUGACCUUACCUUGAGUUUAAAACCACUCUCCCUUGUCCUAUUGCAACAGGGCCUGUAAGGAGCUUGAGUUUGGAAAGGAACGUUUCAUUCCUUUAUGUUUUAUGCUUUGGGCAGCAUCCAUUUUUAGCAGCCAAGCCUCUCUCCAGCCUGACACUCUGAUCACUGCAGCAAAGCAGUUGAGGGAGCAGCAGAGAUGCAGCACUAGAAGACGCUAGUUAGAAUAGUUAGUUUGUUAUGGUAGUUAGGACAGCUAAUUUGAUAUGCUAGUUACGACAGCCGGUUUGUUAAGCUAGUUAGGACAGCUAGUUUGUUAUGCUAGCUAGGACAAUUAGUUUUUUAUGCUCGUUUUUUGAAUAAAAACUCUUAAACCUCAA